GAGAUAUUAGUAAAAACAUUACAUGACUUCGUCAGAGUCAACUUAUAGGUCUAAUCCUUUAUAUCUUU